GGUACAAAUGGUUGUCAAGUGUUAACUGUUUUGGGGAUAAGACUAGGUAACGUUCUCAGAAAAUUUUAGAAUCUAACAAAAAUAGAUCUCAAAUAUGUUACAGAAAAUGGGAAAACUGCUUCCCUACAAAGUUUUAAUGGUUACACUAACAUCAGACUUCUCAUUUUUGUCUCUAGAUACGAAAGAAAACAGUGCAAUAUUCAAAUUGUGGGGUAAUUGUUUUUUAAUGUAAAUUAAUAUGACCAACUACCAAAUACUAUCAUUCAGAUGUGAAGACAGAAAAAAGAUGUCUUUAGUCAUCCAGGAACUAAAGUUUCUACCACAUCUUGUUUUAGUAAGCUGGCUAAUUAUGGACUCAACAACAUGAGAAGGUAAACCAAAAAGAAAAUAUGGGAUCUAGGAAACCAGAACAAAUCCAGAUCACCAAAGGGAAGUUUUGGAAUGACAGCUAUAUUUAAUGCAGUUCUAGAGAACAUUCAGUCCAGAUUUGAGCGGGAGGUAGGGGAGAGCUGUAGAAGGGAUGUCUCAGGUAAUACAUAAUAUAAUUAAGGAACUGUACUUAUGAUGCUGUGAGAAAGCAUAUUAUUCUUUGCCUACCCCAGCCCUAAAAAGAAAGACAACAUAAGAAAAAGCUGUGCAAGAAGAAUAUGGUAUGAAUAAGAUGCAAUUUAAAAUGUGGCAUAAUUUUAAUCAUCAUUCAGAACUUAAGAGAGAAUCUAUCCUGUCAAGAAGAGUAUCUUGUACCUGACCUCUGUGCACAACUUGGUCCGCCUUGCCUUCGCCCAAACUGCAAUCCUAUCAGUCAGAUUUUUGACGUGUUACAGAACGCAAGUCACAGCUGCUGCAAUCUGCAGUAUCGAAAACUUUUGAAAUACUGCAUGUCUAACAAAGUUCAGUUUUUGUGUGAAUGAAAGUUUUAUUAAGGUGCUGUUUUUCAACCCUAAUCUUUUUACCAAGAAUGAAACUGUUUAAAAAUUAAGAUGCCAACAGAUCACGAGGAGCCCUGUGGUCCCAGUCACAGGUCAUUUUGCCUGAAUGGGGGGAUUUGUUAUGUGAUACCUACUAUUCCCAGCCCAUUUUGUAGGUGUGUUGAAAAUUACACAGGAGCACGUUGUGAAGAGGUUUUUCUCCCAAGUUCCAGCAUCCAAACCAAAAAUAACCUGUUCGCAGCUUUUGUGGCCUUGGCUGUUCUAGUCACUCUCACCAUUGCAGCUCUCUACUUCCUUUGCAGGAAGGGCCACCUCCAGAGAGCCAGCUCUGCCCAGUGUGAUGUCAGUGUGGGAGAAAUGAGCAGGACCAGUGCCCAGCACAGUCAUGGAGAACACUGA
rnacentral:lncRNA from 1 species